AUGAAUCUUGUUUAUGUAGUACUAUCCAAUUGUAGAGAGAAGUGUUUACCUGCUUGUUUAUUAAUUUACAGUUGUGUUCCCCAGCUGCAAUCAGAGCAGUUUCUCUUUCAGAAGUUUAUUAAAAGCAAGCAUCAAAGAGAAGGUCUUCCACCAAGGGCUGGGAAAUGCAUAAAGCUCUUCCCUGUAGGAGGAGUGGUAUCUCCCAUAUGCAUCUGUAGAAAAUUGUUGGAAAGUGUUCUACAAAGACCAAGAGAAAUGUCAAAGGCAAGUGCAGAGAGUGAACAUGACUAUGUGGGAAGAAGAGUGAAGAUUCAUGCCCAGAAAACAUUAUUCUUACCUCACACCAGUUUUACUUCGUGUUACUUCGUUGAACAUGCUAGGAUGAGAUCAGCUAGCUGUACAGUGAGAUGUGACGAUCAGGAUAUUUACAGCAUGGGAUGUGACCUUCGGCUGCCCUGGAAAGACUAAGGGUUCAUCUGAGGAGGUGCCUCCAUCUGUGCCAGACUUUACAAACACACAUCCUCAUCCUGCAAGUUCGGCUGCCAAGUUGUUCUACCUUAAAUCACUUGCAAGCAGGGUUUGAACUGUAACUCAUGUUGGAUUCUGGCAAAAACAGGAAUGAAGAUGUAAGAAGUGUAAUGAUUUGGCUCCUGUGAGAAAAGGUGUGUGUGGAGAACAUUUUUCAGCCACAUGGCAGUUUCACCAUGUCGUGGAAAAUGCUUAACUCUAAAGAGUAAAUUGCACAAUCUCUGACUGUUUGAGGAAGAUUGGUCAUAGCAAAAGCAACACGGGAAGCAACAAGGGGAAGUCUGAGGCUUUAGGAGCUAGUGACAGGCAAAGGAGGGGAGCUGCUUGAAGGCAAGGGUGCAUGGGCAGACAUGAACCCCUGAACUCCCCAUCUGCCACAAGAGGCUAAAAGCUGCAAGGGAGUUUCAGCCCCUGUGGGCAGGAGGCCUCUGACAUCAUUUCCAUGCACCACACAGCCAAGUGAGGAGAAAAGUAAUUGCCUUGGAUGGGAAGCACGAUACGACAUGAAACACAAGCAUGUCUUUCGUAGAAUUUGUAAGCCAUAAAAGUAUUUUAAUAACAUCUGGUGCAGGGGCGUGUUGAAGUUUAAUUAAUUAAUCCUUGCAGAGGACUUGGAAAUUCUGGGAUCAAAGGUGUUGCAGGAGUGCAAAAUGCCAUUAUUAUACCUAUAAACGUGUGCUUGUUAACUUAAAUGCUGUUUAUUUAUUGCCGCUAUAUACUUGUAUGGCAGUAUAUAUCAAGUAUAUUACAAACAUUUUAAAAGUACACUUUUUCAUCACAUAAAGCUGUCCCCGUUUGGGUCCCCCUGUGCACACAGGCAGUCGCAGUGCAGCGGUGGUUAGC
rnacentral:lncRNA from 1 species